ACUUCCUCAUCGUCUGUUUUCUACAAAUCCCUUUUGAGAUAAGAAUUUCUUUCUUGAAUUUCAAGGGAAUUUGUAGCCUGUCAUGUCUGAUUUGCCUAGUCAUAUUUGUUUAGUGUUAUAUAGGUUUUAUUUUUUAUUCUAGGAAAAGUUAGAUGUUUUUAUAGUUGAGUGAAUUGCAAUUAUAGAUAGCAUGAUCCAUGGUUAUGCUUUUGAGAAGUUUAUCUUUAAUUUGUGUGCAUGUAAGACAGUUCAUUUCUACAUUAGAUGAGUACAAAUAGGAGGUAGUGCUAAUGAAAGAGGAGGUAGUACUUUGAACGUUUUAAAAAUAAAACAGGUCAGGAGAUAGUACUUCCAACUUGUUUCAUAACCUUUCUGUGUUCUUUGACAGUCAUCCUCUCUUUUAUUGAACAGGAUCUAGGAGACAUUAUAGAUCUUUUGCCUAACACUCUCUUCUGAAUUUUUUGCUUGGGGUAAAUGAGUGGCAUCCCUUAGGUGCCUUUUUAUAGAAAUUAUUUUUCUGCAAGAAAAAAAGGUAAACACUUCAGUUGGUGAUUUUAGAAAACUUUCCUGAAACAAAAAUUCUCCUGACUGAAUUGACUGAUUUUCAUUGGUCGUGAUAAGUAAAGAUUACAAUGGCAAAGGAAAAAAUGAGCAUUUCCUUAUUCUCAUUUGAAUUAGCUGUAGGAAUAUUUGUAUGCUGGAAAUUAAGAAUGAAUUUUGUAAAGCUUUUUUUUUAUUAAAUACUAUGAGCAUCCACCAUACACUACCAAAUUCUAAGAUUUGGAAAAACUAAUUAUUGAUUUGUUACAUGCUUGUCUCAUUCUUUCUUCAAUUCUUACAAAGUGAUCGGGUGUAUAAUCUUGCGUAUUUUAUAUCAUGUUCACAAGAUUAUAUACUUCACGUUUCCUGAUUUUAUAGUAUGCAGAAUGAUUUCUGGCAUAAUCCCCUGUCAGGAACCUUAGAAAUUGAUACCAAUUAGACUGACAAUUAGCAAAAUGGGAAGACAAUCUCCAGAAAUUAGCAGAGGAAUUAGAGGAAUUGGAAGAACAGAAUAUUCGAGAAAGAAAGAGGAAUUACUGAUUUCUUUUCUUCAUAAUACUUUUCUUAUCAAAUCAUGCCCAAUUCCAGACUUUCUACACCAUUCCUUUCCAAAUGUUCAGUAACAACAACGACAGAAAUCAAUUCAACAGAAAAACAGAAUCUCAGCAAAAUGCAGUGAAAGGAAGUAAAAAGGGGGAAUGCAGGUGCUGACAUUUCUCUCCUCUUCAACAUUAACCUUGUCCUCAAGGUUGUUCAUCAAUUGAAAGAAGAGAAAAUUUAUGCGAACCCUUCCUCAGUGGUAGUCAUAUAUUUCAUGAUAAUGUCAUUGUCAAGUGCAACAGAUGGGUUCCAUAGCUGUGAAGCAGAACUCCUUACGGGCUAAUCCCACUAACAAUCUUCGGGAUUGUCUUGAAAGAAAGAAAUAGUAGAGUUUUUGAGAGUCUUGAGGUGAAUUUUGCUAACUUCAAGGAUAAAUAGUUACAUCUUUUUGGUUCCAUUAUUUUAGGACACAACCUUGAUAGUUUGGAAGAUUUUGGUUCCAUUGUAGAUAUUCUUACUAAUCUAUAAAUUCUCACUUUUUGUACAUGGGCGGCGCUCCCUUGGUGCCUAUAUCAAUACCCUCCACACUUUUAUUUUAAAAAAAUAUAUACAUGGGUUCCAUUGAAAAAAUCACACUUAAUGGAUAAGCAUGGUCAAUCUUGGCAGUACUCCAACAAGCAUAAUCUCUUGUAGUAAGAAACUUUUGGUGUUUACAGGGGUUUAACCUAUACCCGCUCAUCAAUUAAUAUCCAUCUAUUGUCAUGCAUGGAUUUGCUAACCCAAGUAACCUGGGAAAAUUUUAGACCAAUUACGUCAUAUCCUCCAUUCACAUCUUCACUACCAACAACAAAAAAUUCAUUUCUCAAUGAAACUCCUAACUUCUUCACUUCUUUGUUUAACAGCCUCCAGUCAUCGUAUUUUCCACAUAAUUAACAAUUCACUUGAAAUAAAGUGGAGCAUCCUUUGAUUAUAAAGAUGAUAUUUAACAUGCACCCAGCUUCAAAUGCUAAGGAUAUACUCUUAUAAGUAAAGACUACUGGACUCGUACAAAAACCAGCUUCUACAAAAUUCUUUUUCUAUGUAAUUCUCAAAACUUGUCAACUCUUUGGAACUUUUCACAAAACUUUUGUUUGCAUUUUUCUCAGAUGGGACUUUCAACAAGUUGGAUCUUACUCUCAACUUGUAUGUUGUUCACCACCACUUCUUUUUCCUCUUUAGGACUAACAACCUUUUGACAACUUUAUCACAAGAACUAAUAAAUCUUUUCUCACAGUCCCGUUACUCCAUUUUUCUCAAAUUUAUUGUCCCCAUUAUUUUUACCCUGCAGUUUGGAUAAAACAGCUUGAGCAGAUUUAGGUGGAGGUAGAAGAGGGACCUGAAGGGAGGAUAUACUAAUACCUUGACCAGAUUUUGGUAAAACAAGGGAAAAUGAUACAUGUGAAAAAGGAUCUGGAAGGUGCGUUGAGUUCCAAAUCAUGUCCUUGAGUUGAUUGAACCUUUGCUCCGGCCAGUUCUAAUUUUGCUGUACAUCAUAAGAAGCUUUGUGAUGGAAGUUCAAUGGACCUUUACAAGUUUAUCCUAUGGUGAUUGAACAUUUUAUCAGAGUUUUUGACAUAUUCUUCAAGCUGCAGAAGGUGCUAAUUAUCUGUCAUCAUGGCAGCCAUGGAAGUUAACGUUUCAUCUUAAUCAACCGGCUCUGACACCAAUUUGUCAAGAACCUUAAACAUUAACAACAAUUAGGCUGGGAAUUAGCAGAAUAAGAAGAGCAUCUUCAGAUAUUAGAAGGGAAAUUAGAGGAAUUAGAAUAACGAAGUAUGGCA